GUACAAAUUUAAACAAACCUAUAAAUAACCCAGACAAAAAUUGAUCGUUUACACAUUGAACUCUCUGAUGGCGCUCUAAAAAUAGAGAUUUUCACGCAAUUUGGUCGAUGAUUUCGUUCGCUAAUCCGUUUACUUGUUAAUUGAGUUUGGCAGACGCCAUAAUCGAAUUGUGCAUCCCCAGACAGACACGACACUCCACGCUACUCCAUGCCUCUCCAUUCCCAAUUCCAUCUCCAGGCAACAAACCUUAAUUGCCUUUACACGCAAUUAUUUAUUCAAACACAACUAAAUCCCGGGGCAUUGGCUGACAAAAUAGUUUGUUUUUUGGGUCAACACGCCACGUCAGGGAAUAUGACAUGACUAUUGGAAUUAUCCUGGAAAGACAAAGGUGGCAAAGGGGCUAAGAGGGUGGGGGAGUGCCUGAAAGCAGGCAACACAAUUCUUGCCACAACAAUUCAGGUGAAUACAAACAAAACGCAUGGAAUGGAGAGGAGAGGAGGCUUCACUGUGGCACUCUAUUCUCUAAAUGUAUGUACAGCCAUAAUCUAUGACUCAAACAGUAAACGAAGAAGAGCAGAGCAGAGCAACAAAUAUGUACAAAUAAGCUGGAAAAAGGCAAUAAACAAAGCGCACGACAAAAACAGAAAACAGAACAGAACAAAAUGAAUCGAUGGAAUGGGGAAUGGGAAAGAAGUGGGCAAUGGCAAUCAGACCAGGAAUGCGAGUUUAAUGGAAAAAUCAGUGGCAAAUGUUACCAAGAUAACGUAUUUUGUUUGUCAUAGACAAAUACGAUAUGCAUACAAUAAAUGUAGGGUAUUAAUAGAGCUAUUGUUUACGUAGUACUUGCAGAAUUCAUGGUGUAUGUACUUUUUGCAAUUCGGGCCUUCUGUUUAAUGCAGGUAUAUCUCGCCCACAAUAUGGAUACCAGCAGGGGAAGGGGAUUUUCUUGUCAACAGGCCAAAGCCAGCUCUGCCAGACGAGAUUUUCUUUUUGGAAAUUACUGGACGUCUGAAAAUAUGCAAUGGUUGCCAGUGCCUGAGGUGAUCCGAUUACGUUGGAAACUUUUUCCAUUGCCCUGGCCACAUGUGUUAAUUCCUUUAUGAGAGCGUAAUAAGAUCGUAAUAGUCUAUGCAAAUAUUUGACCAGCAAUCAACCAUAAUUACGGCGGACAGGUGCGAAAUAUAUAAAUAAAGACGUCCAAAUGGUGAGGUCUAGACUACUAUAUGUUCUCUCUCUGAGAAAAAUUGUUUAUUUGAAAAUAUCAUCAAAGUAUUGUUUUCAUUUGUGUGGAAAUGCAAGUGGAGAUAUUUCUCCGAGUAAAGUUCAAUGCACUCUUUUGAUGAUAACAAAGCUACAUAUGAAAUAUGAUAUUAAAUCUAAGUAGACAAAAAUCUACACGGUACGUUACUGUAGUACUAGUAAUUGUGCAUAUUAUGUAUUCUAUAUUUCGUUAUUUAUAUCUGCAAUUAUACUUACAAUGCAAGCCUUAACGGACUUCCAAAGAUUUCUCGCAAAGUCUUCAAUCUUGCUGGUUUUUCCCCGUACGUUCGCCAGUUGCACGACGUUUCCUUUUAGAGCGUUGGGGAGUAAGGCAAGAGGGAGGAGUAACCCAAGAACGAUGAAUAGAGUUUCCGGGAAAUCGGUGCACGCACAAAGUCACUUAUCACGCCUGCUAACCGGACACCUGUGGGCGAUGGCACAUGCAGGAGUGCAGGGAGAGAUUUCCACGAAUCGGCUAGAGCCGUGUUUCUAGGGGAACCGAACCGAACAAUUAAGCCGUGCCGCUGGACAGUCACAUUGCCGAUGAUCCCAAAAAAUACACACACGAACAAGCGGCAAGCGUUUGUGCCGGCUGGCUAUUAUCUAUUGUCCGUCUGUUAUUGUAUCCCGGUUAUCCUCUCCAACCAGGAUUUCUGUUAACUUUGGUAUUAUAGCUUUUUUCCGUUCAAUCUGUUGUUGUUGUUUGUUGUUGGUCCAAGACUAUCUCUUAUCGCUCUCUCUCUGUCUCUCUGCCUGUCUAUCUGUCAGAGUCUCUUCUUCGCGCUUCCACGCCAACAAAUCCGAUGUUUAUUCGCUCUUGAGUUUGAUUUUUUUCUUGACCUUGUAACGACGGUUGCGCUGAUCUAUGACAAACUCAUAUCGCGAUCUCUGCACAUUUUCGCUAUCCAAAUCACAACAGCUCAGACCAAGCAGGCGCAGAACUCCUAGCGAAUACGUUGUGACUGAAUUAUAGGGCCUGGAUCGGUGCGAAAUCGGUGUCCGCUGCAACAGCUGCGGUUCAGGCGUGGGCGUAUGGGCGUAGGGCGUGUGUGGCUGCCUCUGGAUGAUGCACUACCGAGCGAAUGAACGGUUAAGUGUUGUAUGCCACUCUCGACCGGGCUUUCAAUGUUUGGGGCGUCAAUGAGCAGGCGGCGCGCACUUGACAAGCUUUUUGUAUCGAGAGAUGACGUUAUCCUGCGAUCGCUCGCAGUCUUUCUCUUCGGGUUUGCAACUGCACUUUUCUCUCUUCGGCGUUCUUUCUAGAUGUUUCUCUCCCCCCUUAGGUGGUGGUGGUGGUGGUGGUGCACUCUCUCAAUAUUUCGCUUCCCUCUCGCUCUGGCUGACUACGGCUGCUUCAAAAAG